rnacentral:rRNA from 1 species
UACGAAGGGGGCUAGCGUUGUUCGGAAUCACUGGGCGUAAAGCGCACGUAGGCGGAUCCUUAAGUCAGGGGUGAAAUGCCGAGGCUCAACCUCGGAACUGCCUUUGAUACUGGGGAUCUCGAGUCCGGGAGAGGUGAGUGGAAUUGCGAGUGUAGAGGUGAAAUUCGUAGAUAUUCGCAAGAACACCAGUGGCGAAGGCGGCUCACUGGCCCGGUACUGACGCUGAGGUGCGAAAGCGUGGGGAGCAAACGGG